GCGCGGUUAGCUCAGUUGGUUAGAGUACUACCUUGACAUGGUAGGGGUCAGAGGUUCGAAUCCUCUACCGCGCA
rnacentral:tRNA from 1 species